AUGAAGUCUGUGGCCGGAGGUAAGUUGCACUUGUGACACUGUCACACAGGACACAUGUUUUAACCUGCUCAAUAUAUUAUAAUGAUUUUAUGUAUGUUUGAGUUUUAAUAGGUUUUCAUGUUGUCUUAGCCAUUUUAUUCCUCUUAACUAUUUUAAUGUGUGUAUGUC